UUUUUCUCUCUUCCUGUCAUUAUCUGGUAUAGGUCCAGCUUGACUCGGAGCCAACAUAUAGCUACGAAACUGUACGGACAAUUCGUUUCUCUGCAUCUUAGUAUUCUUCCAUAGUGAUUUGUUUCUACAUGGUGUCUUCUGUGCUGUUCUACUAUCCUGAAUAUGUACGUGCACUCCGAUGCAGGCGUCGGGGUUUUAUCUGCAUUGUGGUAUGAUUCAUUUGCUACAAGAGCGUUCCAUGUUGUACCCACUCCAGUCUGUCUUUUGUCUUCCCUGUAUAUAUUAUAGAGAGAAAAAAAGACUGUUACAGAUUUAUACAGAGGACCCAAGAUGCAGAAAGCUGAAGAUAUGAUUCGGCAAGUCCACGGUGUCAGGCAUUCAGGCCUUCGUAGAGGAUUCUGGUGAGCAUGAAGCCGUCGGUCCCUUCUUAGAUGGCAACGGGCCUCGAUUCCCAAUUCACCAUGGGAAAUUCUUUCAUUAGAGACAGUGAAGUUUCGUUUCCCACGAGGAUAUAAAUGUGUAAACGAGGACGGAAAUCAUUUUCUAUCUCUGUUCUCUACGGAGACACGUUAAACAUGUACGUGGUGGUGUUUUCGUGUAAUAGUUAACGAUAAAAAUAAAUAAUUAUCAUGUCAAUAGACCA
rnacentral:lncRNA from 1 species